GUGGGGAAUUUUGGACAAUGGGCGCAAGCCUGAUGGAGCAACACCGCGUGAGUGAAGAAGGGUUUCGGCUCGUAAAGCUCUGUUGUUAAAGAAGAACACGUAUGAGAGUAACUGUUCAUACGUUGACGGUAUUUAACCAGAAAGUCACGGCUAACUACGUGCCAGCAGCCGCGGUAAUACGUAGGUGGCAAGCGUUAUCCGGAUUUAUUGGGCGUAAAGAGAGUGCAGGCGGUUUUCUAAGUCUGAUGUGAAAGCCUUCGGCUUAAACGGAGAAGUGCAUCGGAAACUGGAUAACUUGAGUGCAGAAGAGGGUAGUGGAACUCCAUGUGUAGCGGUGGAAUGCGUAGAUAUAUGGAAGAACACCAGUGGCGAAGGCGGCUACCUGGUCUGCAACUGACGCUGAGACUCGAAAGCAUGGGUAGCGAACAGGAUUAGAAACCCCGGUAGUCC
rnacentral:rRNA from 1 species